rnacentral:rRNA from 1 species
UACGUAGGGAGCAAGCGUUGUCCGGAAUCAUUGGGCGUAAAGCGCGCGUAGGCGGCCCUGUAAGUCCGCUGUGAAAGUCAAAGGCUACCUUUGAAAGCCGGUGGAUACUGCAGGGCUAGAGUCCGGAAGAGGCGAGUGGAAUUCCUGGUGUAGCGGUGGAAUGCGCAGAUAUCAGGAGGAACACCAAUAGCGAAGGCAGCUCGCUGGGACGGUACUGACGCUCAUGCACGAAAGCGUGGGGAGCAAACAGG